rnacentral:tRNA from 1 species
GCGGAGGUAGUUCAAUUGGUUAGAGCACCGGCCUGUCACGCCGGAAGUUGCGAGUUCGAUCCUCGUCCUCCGCG